rnacentral:misc_RNA from 1 species
GUUGAAAAAGUUGAAGAUCUUGUAUCUGGUCUCUUCCUUCCGCUGUACUUUGUCUCUAGCGGAUUGAAGACCAAUAUAGCAACAAUUCAUGGAGCUCAAUCAUGGGGUUUAUUGGUUUUAAUCAUAAGCACAGCCUGUUUUGGGAAGAUAGUUGGAACUGUAGUUGUUUCUCUCUUAUGCAAAAUCCCUAUCCGGGAAGCUAUAACUCUGGGGUUCUUGAUGAAUACUAAAGGCUUGGUGGAGCUUAUUGUCCUCAACAUAGGUAAAGAUCGAAA